GACGAACGCUGGCGGCGUGCUUAACACAUGCAAGUCGAACGGAAAGGCCCUGCUUUUGUGGGGUGCUCGAGUGGCGAACGGGUGAGUAACACGUGAGUAACCUGCCCUUGACUUUGGGAUAACUUCAGGAAACUGGGGCUAAUACCGGAUAGGAGCUCCUGCUGCAUGGUGGGGGUUGGAAAGUUUCGGCGGUUGGGGAUGGACUCGCGGCUUAUCAGCUUGUUGGUGGGGUAGUGGCUUACCAAGGCUUUGACGGGUAGCCGGCCUGAGAGGGUGACCGGCCACAUUGGGACGGAGAUACGGCCCAGACUCCUACGGGAGGCAGCAGUGGGGAAUAUUGCACAAUGGGCGGAAGCCUGAUGCAGCAACGCCGCGUGCGGGAUGACGGCCUUCGGGUUGUAAACCGCUUUCGCCUGUGACGAAGCGUGAGUGACGGUAAUGGGUAAAGAAGCACCGGCUAACUACG
rnacentral:rRNA from 1 species